GACGAACGCUGGCGGCGUGCUUAACACAUGCAAGUCGAACGGAAAGGCCCCUUUGGGGGUACUCGAGUGGCGAACGGGUGCGUAACACGUGAGUAACCUUCCCUUGACUUCGGGAUAACUUCAGGAAACUGGGGCUAAUACCGGAUAGGAAUCCUUGCUGCAUGGUGGGGGUUGGAAAGUUUCGGCCGUUUUGGAUGGACUGGCAGCUUAUCUGCUUGUUGGUGGGGCAGUGGCUUACCAAGGCGUUGACGGGUAGCCGGCCUGAGAGGGCGACCGGCCACACUGGCACAGAGGUGCGGCCCCGGUGCCGACUGGACGGAACUGUGCGGAAGCUUGAAGGAUGAACGGCAGGCUAGUGAAGCAGCUCCGCGUGUGGGAUGACGGCCUUAGGGUUGUAAACCGCUUUUAUAAGGGACGAAGCUUGUGGUGACGGUACCUGCAGAGGAAGCACCGGCUAACUACGUG
rnacentral:rRNA from 1 species